CCACUGGCUUUUUUUAAAGCCAUGCCAAUAAAUCUACUAAGCUGUU
rfam:Alligator mississippiensis ScZkoYb_383, whole genome shotgun sequence.